GCGGAUAUGGCGGAAUUGGCAGACGCGCCAGACUUAGGAUCUGGUGUCUACGACGUGCAGGUUCAAGUCCUGUUAUCCGCAUCA
rnacentral:tRNA from 3 species